GUGAAUCAUCGAAUUUUUGAACGCAAAUUGCACUCUCCUCGGAGAGUAUGCCUGUUUGAGGGUCAGCCUAUAAAAUAUCGACACCGUUGAUGUUUCGCGGUGGCGUUUGUCGGAAAUUGGGUUAUCUUAAAUCUUUUGGUUUUAUGCGACUUAAAAUAUUCUUUUUGGUUCCAUGAACGUUUCUAAGAUUUAUUUCUUUACACGUUUAAGGUAUCGAUUUUUAUUAGACGACAUUA
rnacentral:misc_RNA from 1 species